rnacentral:lncRNA from 1 species
ACAGUAAUUUUGGAGAGCUUUUUGGCAUGAUAAAAGGGAGAAAAAAGAGGGAGGCAUGUGGUUUAUGUAGGGCACACAAAAAGGGAGGCGUGAGGUUGUUAGGCUCCUUUCUUUCUUACAUCCAAGAGCUGGAUGUUCAUGAAAAGGCUUCUUCCUCUCUCUUUUGUCCAAGAGUUGGAUAUAUUUAUUUAUCUCCAUUCUCUUCUACAUAUGUCCAAUAGUUGGAC